rnacentral:lncRNA from 1 species
CAAGAAGCUUAAACUAAAUAGAAGUUUAUUUCUCUCUUAUAUAAAGUCCAAACUGGAAUGGUAGUUCUGUCUUGUCAAAUUGUAGGGGCCUGGUCUCUUUUUAUCUUGUUUUCAGGGUAUUGUGCUCAUCCACAGGGAUUAACUUGGCUCACCCUACAUCUGAAUUCUAGCCCCAACCUUUGGGAAUGAGGAAAGGGGAUGAGGAGGUCCCUUUUGCUCACAGUCCAUUGACCAGAACAUAAGCAGAAUGUUACAUUCAAUUGUCUGGAAGGAUAAAAAAUGUAAUCAUUGCUGGGUUCCAUAUACGUAGAAAAAAAAUCUAAUUAUAAUAAAUGGAGGGGACAGCAGCAAUCAGGAGACAAUUAGCUUCUGUAUACCUCUGUUUUAGAGAUGAGAAAGUUGAUCCUCAGAAAAUAAUUUGUUCAAGGCCUCACAUAACUAAGAUAUUUGAAAAACUGUCCCCAAAAGAGAACAUAGAGUUAUGCUGGGUACAUCAGAAGUCAGAACCAGGACUGGUAGGGAGAUGUUAAAGGAGGCAUGUUUCUAUACAGUUAAUAUUAGAACAAAUAAUUUUCAACAUUUAGAAGAGUACCAUAAUGAAUAGGCUACCUCAGUGUUAUUACCACUAUCAAUAUAUACCUGGAUAUUUAUAGUUAAAAACUAUAAUGCACAUCACCCAGUACCUAUAUAAAGUUACAUACAUUAGAUAAGGGUUCCAAAUCUUAACAGUAGAAACUUCAUCUUGUAUAUCUUUUACCUAGAAUGUGAUCUUGUUAUACAUCAGACAUCUAAUAAGUGUUGAUUAUGAUUAGGAAUUCAUUUAAUGAGAAUAGAAGCCACUGAGAUGGAAACUGACAAUCUUAUGCAAUAAGUUCUGAUAACAACUGUGUCCAUUUUUUUUUCUUUUUCUGGUUCUGGGAAAGAAACCAGGGCCUGAUAAUAUGCUAGGCAAAGUGCUUUGCCACUGAGCUACAUUCCCAGCCAACUGUGUCAAAUUUUAAUGAAGCACCAUUGACCUGGCUCCCCAUCUGCCCAGCCAUGUAGCCAGCCUACUAGUCCCUGUUGAGAAGCAGCAGCAGAGCAGUGGAGUAGCAGAGUGGCAGCCCAAGUAGUUUUCAGCAUAGGAGGCAAGCACAGCCUUUGGCCACAUGGACCAUCCUCCCCCAUAUAAAGCCCCAUGAGCCAAGGUGCUCUGAUCUGUCAUCCUUCUCCCACCAGGCCUGAUAUGGAGGACUGCUGCAGAAGCCAGCUCCACACAGUGCUGCAACCACCAUCCCAUGACCUCGACCUCCACUUCCUGACCUGUGAGGAGAAAAUGGAAGUGGGGCAGAUCUGAAUGGAAGUUGGAUUCAAGAAUUGACCAAUAGCAUUAGUAUGUUUCCAAAACCUAAUUAGCAUAAAUGUGGACCAAUAGCAUUGCUACUUUUUUCAAUCCCUAAUUAGUAUAAGUGGACCAAUAGCAGUGACCCAAGUUCUAUACAAACCCUUAAAUUA